rnacentral:rRNA from 1 species
AGUGAACGCUGGCGGUAGGCCUAACACAUGCAAGUCGAACGGCAGCACAGUAAGAGCUUGCUCUUACGGGUGGCGAGUGGCGGACGGGUGAGGAAUACAUCGGAAUCUACUUUUUCGUGGGGGAUAACGUAGGGAAACUUACGCUAAUACCGCAUACGACCUACGGGUGAAAGCAGGGGAUCUUCGGACCUUGCGCGAUUGAAUGAGCCGAUGUCGGAUUAGCUAGUUGGCGGGGUAAAGGCCCACCAAGGCGACGAUCCGUAGCUGGUCUGAGAGGAUGAUCAGCCACACUGGAACUGGGACACGGUCCAAACUCCUACGGGAAGCAGCAGUGGGGAAUAUUGGACAAUGGGCGCAAGCCUGAUCCAGCCAUACCGGGUGGGUGAAGGAGGCCUUCGGGUUGUAAAGCCCUUUUGUUGGGAAAGAAAAGCAGCAGGUUAAUACCCCGCUGUUCUGACGGUACCCAAAGAAUAAACACCGGCUAACUUCGUG